rnacentral:rRNA from 1 species
CGGAUAUCUUGGCUCUUGCAACGAUGAAGAACGCAGCGAAAUGCGAUACCUAGUGUGAAUUGCAGAAUUCCGCGAAUCAUCGAGUUUUUGAACGCAAGUUGCGCCCGAGGCUCGUCUGAGGGCAUGCCUGCCUGAGCGUCCGCUCCGACCCACCCACGAGUCCCUCCCCAUCCAAAAAGAUGGGGGAGGGUAUGAUGUCGUGCGAGUGGAAUUGGUCGUCCGAGAACUCGCUCUUCUCCGUGCGGGAUGAUCAGAGUAUCGCCGGUCGGCUGAAAGAUGGGAACCGUCCGUCGAAACGCGCGUUGGGGCCACGGUGCGUCGCGAGAAGGUGCCGUCCUCUCAUUGUCCUCCGUGACUUGAGACGUUGGUUUUAGAGCGUCGUGCCUCCCCGGCGGAGUCGAGAUUCGGCGGUUUGGUGAAAGAUUUAACAUGGGGAGCGGGAAAGACUUUGGCACUCCCCCCACGUCUGUCUCUCGAAAGAGGAUAGGCUUGGGGGGAUGUUGAGUCCGAACGCAACGUUGCUCGGACCUCAGAUCAGGCAAGACCACCCGCUGAGUUUAAGCAUAUCACUAAGCGGAGGAAAAGAAACUAACAAGGAUUUCCUUAUUAACAGCGAGCGAACCGGAAGUAGCCCA